rnacentral:rRNA from 1 species
AACUAACAAGGAUUCCCCUAGUAACGGCGAGUGAAGAGGGAAGAGCCCAAGAUUGAAAGCUGGCGUCUUCGGCGUCCGCAUUGUAAUCUCAAGAAGUGUUUUCCGCUUCGGACCAUGCCUAAGUCCCUUGGAAAAGGGCAUCAUAGAGGGUGAUAAUCCCGUACAUGGCAUGGAGCGCCCGAAGCUUUGUGAUACGCUUUCUAAGAGUCGAGUUGUUUGGGAAUGCAGCUCAAAAUGGGUGGUAAAUGCCAUCUAAGGCUAAAUAUUGGGGAGAGACCGAUAGCGAACAAGUACAGUGAUGGAAAGAUGAAAAGAACUUUGAAAAGAGAGUUAAACAGUACGUGAAAUUGCCAAAAGGGAAGGGUAGGAGGUCAGAGAUGCGGCCUGGGAUUCAGCCUUGCUUUUGCUUGGUGUUUUUCCCAGAUUGCAGGCCAACGUCGGUUUUGGGCACUGGAGAAGGGUAGGAGGAACGUGGCACCUCUCGGGGUGUGUUAUAGCCUCCUACUGGAUACAGCGACCGAGACCGAGGACAGCAGCGUACUCGCAAGAGC